AUGCAUCGUGCGUGCCUCACCUCCAUCUGCAGUUGGAGAGAGAGAGAUGGAUUGGUGCCUACGAUGCGCUGGUCGACGCGGCGGCCACCGCAGUCCGCGAGCUCGGGUGUACGGUGGCGCUCACGGACCUCCACCGCUGCCUCGAUGCCUUCAGCGAGUCCUGCGACCGAGCCAAGGGCCUCGUCCAGGCGGCCGCCGCUGGCCUCGGCCCCGCCGCCACCCGCCACGACGAGCUGUGCCGCGCCGUGCGCGCGGUCGACAAGGAUCUCCGAGCCGCCGAGGAGAACGAGAUGGAAGAGGAGAAGCAUCGCCCUCCGACCACGCCGCUGGUGGCCUAGGACAAAUAGCCCAAUCGAUCUACCUCUUCUCCUGUUGAAGUGA
rnacentral:rRNA from 1 species